AAGAACAAAUAUAAAUGCUCUUAACGAAUGGAUACAGAAAACAUAAAAUUCUAACUAAACAAAUCUCAAAAGAAAGAAAGAGGAUGAGAUGAAGAAGUUGCAAAGAGAGGAAGAAGUUAUAAGGAAAGACGAGAUGAAAGGUCUUGAGUUCGAGCACUGGAUAUAAAGUUGUCUUUGAUAAGGUGCGUUUUAUCCCUCAUACGUAGUGAAAUUUCACACAUGAAUCUGAAUAACUACGUAACACCAAGUGAAAAGCUAAAGAAACAUAAAUAUGCCUAGAGAAAACAGAUUAAAACCUUAAUCAAGAGAGAAAAAAGAGAAGGAACCUAUAUUUUGAGAGAAAGGAGGAAAAAGAAGAAAAACCUCACCAAGAGGAAAAGAAGAGAAGGAAUUGUGUAUUUUUCCAGAGAAAAGAGGUGAUCGUUCAAUUUGAUCCUCGGUUGAAUACCUAAUUUUCUUUAAUUGAGGACUUUUUCAUUAUUAUUUUAAUUAAAAAAUGCUAGUCGCAGAGGAAUACCACGUUAAUUUACUUAUUUUUAUUUAAUUAUUAUUAUUGUUAGUUUACUUUAGUUAUCUUUAUCGAAUAUAUUAUGCAAUCGUCCGUUGAUUCAUCAAUUUAGUCUUCCUCAUAAGACCCACAUGGUUUGUUCCCCUUUGAUUUUCUCUCAAUUUUUUUUUAAAGUAAUUUUUUGAUUCUAAUUAAUCUCAAUUAUGUCGAUUUUAAAUUAGGAUAAUUUAAAAAUCAUUCUGUCAUUCGUCUUGAGAUCAUUAAGAUUGCAAUUUAGCUCUUGUUUAAUAUAAUGUUCAUUUGUCGUGUGCAACGAAAUGAGCGGACCCAAUCCACCAACUACCAUCUCUUUUCUUCCCGCCAUCAACUUCAAUUAUUUUUAAUAAUAAUAAUAAUAAUAAUAAUAACAAUAAUAAUAAUAAUAUCACUCUUUUGUUUUGUUAACGUGAUUAAGAUUAAUUAAAGCUCAAAUGAUACGUAAAAUUGAUUUCUUCUUUGUUUUUCCCGCACAACCACUUAAUUUGUUUUCACGGGUAGCUGAUAAUCUUUUCCAAGUCACGGAUCUACAGUAAAAAAAAUAAAUUACUGUUAUUAGUUUUCACAUGACAUGAUAGUUUAAUACUUUUGUAUGAUAAAAGGCAAUCAAUCCGUUCUAUUUUAUAUUUUACGUGACAUUUUUUCUUUAUUAGUUUGUUUUAAUAAGAUAUAUACGAGUUCAGAAUCUACCGGGGCAACUUUUUGAAGAGAUGGGAAAUUUUUCUGUGUGUUUCGUCAUUCAAUAAUACAUGUAUAUCUACAAGUAUGGGUAGAAUAUAAAAAGAACAAAAUAAAUUAUAACAGGAAACUAAAUAUCACAACAUAUCUUGUGUUAUACUAGGAAAAUAUUACAAAUAUUUAUAGUUAAUAAGAAUUUUGAGAAUCUGAUUUGUAAUCAUCCGAAUGGACAUAUAUUCUUCGGCUGAAGUGAAUUGGGUGAUAUUGUUGGACAAUAAAAUUCUCGAGACCAAAAAUAAUAGCCGAGACAAGAAAAAUACUGCAACAAUCGAUUUAUUGAUUUCAAUAAGUGAGUGUUACAAUCUCUAUGAUUCUUCUGAUUCGCCUUUUCAACUAUAAAUUCAAGGGCUUCGAGCUUGAUCUUGAACUUUAACUUGAACUUGACGGAUUUGAUCUUGACUUGUGCUUGAAUCCAAGGGCUUGGUAGCUUGUUCUUGAAUCUUGCGAUUUUGAUCUUGAACUUGCACUACAAAAAAAAGCGUUUUAGCCACGUGCAAAAUCAUGGCUAAAUGGUACCAAAACCGUGGCUAAAUAGUUUAGCCACGGUUAUAGGUGUGCCCAACAAGGGCGUGGCGAGUAAAUUAGCCACGAUUUUCACGUCCGUGGUAACAUUUCACUAGCCACGGUUUUUGGGUGCAUUUAGCCACGGCCAUUCCAUGGGUAAUUUGUUUAGUUUUUUUGCUAUCAUAUAAAUUAGCCACGGUUUUAACCGUGGCAAAAAUGCCCAAUUUCUAAAAAUAUAUAUUUUUUUGCAUAUCAAUUAGCCACGAUUUUAACCGUGGCAAAAAUGCCCAAAUUUUUCUAAAAAUAUAUAUAUUUGCAUAUAAAUCCCAGCUCUUUAUAUAUANNNNNNNNNNNNNNNNNNNNNNNNNNNNNNNNNAUAAUUAUCAAAGUUCUGAUAUUGUUCAAUAUAUUGUCACAAAAGAUAAGGUCCAAACCUUAAAUAUUCAUAAAAGAUACCACAAAUACUAAUGUUAAAAGUUAAAGAAAUACCAUAUAUAUCAUUUGUUCUAAAAUAUACUAAAGGCUAAGAAGAUUAGUUCAAAGUAGGCAAUUCACUACCAAAUUUAGAUUGCAAAAAUCUAUGAAGAGUUGCCAAGUGAUUCUCAUUUUGCACAAGCUUUUCUUUGGUCUCUUCAUAUCCAGACAACUUUUCUUUCAAGGUUUCUACCUGUUUCUCAAGGUCUUCAACACGCUGACGAGAUAUACUGCUUGAGCUACCAAGAUUUACAUAACUAUUUCUAGACAUUCCAAAAGUUUUUGAAGGACAAACAUUACCACCUAAACUACGCACACGUUCAGAAUGUUCAGAUUCAAACACUUUUUCAAUGGCAUCGUUAGGAUGAGCUAGUAUCUUCAAAGGAACUCCAUAACUGAUAACAAGUUCCUGAUCUUCAGGUAGAUGCUCCGAUAUUUUAGCCUAAAUAUAUAAAUGAAGUCCAGUUAAUUUAGAAGUUUUCAAUUCCCAAUAUCCUCAUUUUAAGAGAAACUGCAAUGUAAUGGAAAUAGCAUAUCAAUCUUGAGACGAAAAUGUUUUAAGCUCAGUUCACAGAGUAAACAAGGUUAUUGCCCUGAAGGAAGCUCGCUAAUAACAAUAACACCAAUAACUAACUUAGCAAGAACAUAACUAAUUUCAAAGGUAGCCGAUCAAUUGAUAACUAGCACAGGAUAGCGUCAGAAGUAAAAGAACAAUUAAUAACAAACAUUUACGAGACUACAUUUUUGCAGCAACACAAAGAGAAAAGCGGAUGUCAACUUAGAUGUUCAAAAAAGUUGUUCACUGCAGAUUGAAAAUAAAGGAAAAGAUAUGACACUUCAAACAGUUAUCAGUGUCACUGCCUUUAACCACAACCAUUUUAUAAGACACUCAAGUAAGUGAGGACUAGCAAUCUUUCAAGACCCAAGUCCAUUCACGAUACUGAAUUGCACUACACAAUUUUCAAGUUGCAUCAAAAUGGUACAUCAUUUCAACUCUCAAUAAUUAAAACCAUACAGAUAUCGAACCAUAGAAUUCCAUUGAAGAGAAAACGCUAUGAGCUAUUAUGAACCACGCGGAAUCCCUCCCUAACAAUGAACUUGAAUUUUCUUUCUCCUAAAUCUCUUACUAGAAGCUAUAGGAUAUUUGCAUAAUAACUUUAUACCCUUCAAAAUAUCAACUCAGCAACUGGUUGAAGCAACUGCCCAUCACCCUCAUGAUUUAACAGUAAGGGAACGUUUCAUAUCUUUAAUGUCAAACAUUCAGGUUCCUCAGUCUCCCAUUCUUAAAGAGCAGACAACAAGUUUUAAAAAUUUACCAAGAAAGGCUUAUUAGAUCAGAGAAAUCAACCAUAAGCUUAGAGUGAAAGGUUAAACUUUUUAGUAAAUGGUUAACAGGGAAACAACUCCUUUUUAGUUAUUAGUUAACAAGGAAACAACCCCAUCAAACAUGCAUAAUUGUCAUACCUACGACCUUUUGGGCACAAACAUUUUACUUGUACAAUUUGUUUCUUCAGUUUCUUACCAUUUAAGGACCAAACAGGUAUACGAAUUUCUAGGAAAGACACAAUUGUCAUAUAGUUAUGGGGAACUAGAAAUCCACUUAAAAACUGUUUUAGUAAUAUUUUCAAGACUUUGACUCUUCAUUAUAAAUGCAGAUCCCACAUGCAAGAUACAAAUCGGAAAGACAUUUUAGAGAUCUUGGAGAUAGUAGCCUCUUAUCAUACCACAACAACACAUAAAUAACAGAAAAGUUCAAGAAUCCCCUAAAGCUCAAAACUUGAUCCCCAAAUACCCAAAACAAACACAUAAACAACAUAAAACAUCAAGAAUCUCCAAACAAACAUUCUUGAAACAUAAUGUACUCAUAAAUCUCACAUAUUUGGUACAAACAUUUGUGAUAGCUAGCGGGGUAAAAUUAGACAUGAAUAAAUCAACAUUAAAACUGAAAUUUGAAUAUGGAUAAGUAUAUGAAUCUUACCGCUAAAAUCUUUCCUUCUUCAUUUACAAAAUUUCCAUCAUUCUUCAGUAAAGUUGACAAAACAACCUUACUUCGACACACAGGCCGUCCCAAUUUUUAUUCCUUCCAUUAACCAAUUAUAUAUAAAUAAAAAAUAAGUAACAUGAAACACAUUUUAUAAAAUGAUUUUGAAAUAAAAUUUAAAAUUAAGAAACUUACCAUUUGACAACCUCUCCUUGCAUUGCUUUUGCUACCACCAGCAUGCGAGACUUUAAGUUUCUUUCUAUUUUUUGCAUUUUGUGCAAAUUGUUUCUGCAAUUCUCAAACAUCAAUUCAAUUAUAAGUAGUAGAGGGGCACAAACACCAAAUUAUACAAAAAAAAUCUUGAGUGAUUAUUUAACCCACUACCUUCAUCUUCUCCUCAUUAUAGUGAUGCACAAAAGCAGUCCAAUCAACAACAGAAUCAAUGUUUUUGAGAGUUUUCUCAAGUAGCUCUUCUUUACUUUUGUUGGGAUAGAAGUUGUCAUUUAGUAACUUAUAUUUGAAGGACUUCCACCUAUCGCGUAAAGAUUGCAUAACCCAAUCAACUCCAGCUUCAUAAUCAAACUUGAAAUGCUCCUUCAAAUUUGGUUGUAUUCAUAAAUUAAUAUAUAUCAAUAAAAAAAAUAAACUAAUUGAAUGACCAUAAAGUUAGGUAGUUACCUCAAUAAGCUCCCACAUUAAUUGUUUUUCUCUUUUGGCAUUCUAUCCCAUCUCACAACGGAUAUAGGAUAAAAUAUAGACUUUUGAGAAAGUCUGCCAAGAAAUCUCACAAGCAAGUUUGAACCAUUAUCACUUUCUUGUCCAUCUCCAUUGAGUUCCACCAUGACUUUUCUAUUUUUUCUAAGUUCCAAACUCGAUCUACUUUCAUCUUUUGAGUUGUAAUUUCACCGGUCGAAGUAUCUACCAUUUUAACAAGCAAUUAGCUUUAAUCGAAAGUAAUAAUAACAAAAAAAAUAAAGAAUAAAAUGAAAUUACUUCUAACCUUUAAUAUUGACAAGUAGUGGCUUCUCUUUCACUUUCGAGCUAGCUUCAUUGGAGUUUAAAGAAGAAAUUAAAUUGUCAUCACUGAGAGUAGGAGUUGUCAUAUUCUCAUUCACAACAUGAUCCUCUUCUUGAUCCAAAUCUUGGGAAGUUAUGUUAUGGUUGUCAGUUUUCCAUCCUCGUAGGCUCGCUAACAAUGAAUGUGUUGAGUUCUUGCAUUUUUACUUCAUAUUUUUCUAGAAUAUGAGAAGAACAUAUUUAUUCUACUAUAUCAUUUCAAAUGAAAGUUUGGCAUUUUCUACUAGCUUUAGUAAGCAGUAGUCACUGUUUUGAUACUUUUUCUUUAUUUUACCUGCCAAAUGAAAUCUGCAACAUCAAACUAUAAGAAUAUGCAAGUGGAAAAGAGAAAAAAAAGGAACCAAAAGUAAAGAGGACCCACCAUUUCAGCGUACCUAUCAUUAAGAACAAAGACCCACAACUACGGAGAAGUAGUAAUAAGGGCAUCCAUAGCCUCAACCAUAUACACUAUAUUAGCCGUACAAGCUGGUGUUUCGGUCUACCUCUAUGAACCUUAUUGUUAUUUCACUUUUUCUCUUUUGACCUUUGGGUAUAUAGAAGUACAUAAGUGGCAAUAGGAAUAACCAAUUUGUACCUCUGUUCUGAGCUUUUGGAGACUGAUGAUCUUGUUUUGGUUAUGCUUAGAAACAUUGAUUAGUAGGUUUGAGUUGUUUAUAGUCUCCAAGAACAAUUACUAGUAAGGUUAAAAUGAAAAAGUUAAUAAUUAUAUCAGAUAUUAUUGUAUCACCUUAAAUAAUAUCAAGUUUCUAAUGAGGGAUAAGUUCUGCACUACACGUACAUCUUGCUAGUAGGGUAGGAGUCUUGUAACCGGUAUUAGUAGUUGUAGUACUACACUAACUAGUAAUUUCUAGUUCUUUUUGUUAUGUUGAUGUUUGUUGAUCGGGUAGAUCGAUGGUAGUAGUAUGUGGUACUUUUAUUCUGUUAACAUCUAUUGUUUUGUUACCAUAUCUAGCUUCUUGUACUCAUAUCACUAAUGUCUUUUGUCUUGGACUAUGUACACUCUACCCUGCCAAAACUAUGUAUAAUCAUUGUCUUUUCAUGAUUCGACUAGUAUAAACAUAGAAGACAAAAAUCAAAUAGAAUCUCAAAAUAGAUGGAAUAUAUUCACUGAACAAGCAUUCAUAUAUCUGUCAUGACAUGUUAAUACACCAAAAAAGAACGAAGAAAACAAAUGUCAUACAAUCAGAUGUUUAUUUUUAGAUUAUUAUAAUUGACGCUUUGCAGUUGUCAGAUUAUCUUCAAGAUCAUCAAAUUUUAGUUAAAACAGACUGAGACAAAAUACACUCAGCGGCAAUAUUCAAAAAUCUUUUACACAAUCAGCUAACCAGAAGAAAUGAUUCAGCUAAGUCUUAAUUUUGCAGAGAAAUCUCUCCAUUUUAAAGCAAUUCUGAGUGAUACUGCUUCUAAUCUUUGUCUGGUGGCUAGAGAUGCUGUUAAAAGACUUUUUUGUUUUUUUAUAUAUAAGUAAUGUAAAGACUUUUGUAUUACUUCUUUUUUUGUUGUUGUUAAAAACAAGGGUGAAGAUUGUUAUUCAGUAAUUAAUAGAAAGAAUAGCAGUUUACUCUCUUUUGUUGGCUAGAUGACUUUAUACUUUACUAUAAGUAAGUUUUCAACUUCUUCGACUUUGAUUGAACAUGAUAAUUUUGUCCCCAAAUCAAUCAGAAUAAAUAAGUUCAGCAAUUUUUUCUUAUUAGUUUCUGGUGGAAAGCAUGUUUCUCUGUCAUUAGCUCUUAUUUGCUUUGGUUAUAUGAAAUGUCUCCUAUAUAUUUUAACGUAGUUAUGCUCAUCUGGAUACAACUCAAUUCCUAAUCCCUUGUUUGUAGAUAAUACAUUAGAGAUAUCAAGCUGGGGGUCUGCGAAAACAGUCUCUCUAGGAGUUAGAGACAUCAAGCAACGAUGGAGUAAAAAAUCUAGUUCAUGUUCCUUAUUGUUCAACUCUAAGAGAAUAUCUAAAGAGUAAGAAACCAUUAUUGAUUGUAUCUAUCUCGGUAUUAGUAUUCAUUGGUAUCUCUAAAAUUCUGUUGUUAUGAGUGUUAUCUAUUUAAACUACAGUAGAGGACAAAUUUUGAUGUUCUAAUUAUGAUCAAUUGUCUUGUACAAAGAAUAUACAAGUAUGAUUAUUGCGCAGAAAUGCAAAAUGUAAUGUCACGUUGCAAAAAUAACUUACAACUUCUCUACUACAUCUUUUCAAUGACAUACGGAGUAUAUGGAAUCAGUUAGAAAUUAUAUAUAAUCAGACAGAGUAGUGCUUGAAAUCUCGCACCUACUGCUUCAGUUAUGUAACUCGGUUUAUCUAUUAAUAUAAAUAACUCAGUUCAUAUCAAGCAUGUACUCUUUAACAGGCCCAAAACAAGGCACCAGUAAAUUCUUCUCAUAAAUUUGGUGCCUGUAGAAAGAAAAAAAGGCAAAGCUAAAUACUUCUGUGUCAAUUUAGUCACUGAUAAACUAGGGACACUUCUGCAGCUUUUAGACCACCAUCUAAGUACAAGUAAAUCUAACUACUAUAUCCACUACUAUUCCAACAUUCCUAAUAUAACUUUAGUGCAAUGGAGGAGAAAGUGAAGGUGAAGGGAUACAGUGAAGCUCAACUCAAGAAAUGUUCAGUAACAUAAAGAUUAAAUACACCAAGUAACACGAUGAUGCUAAGUAUUUGGGCGCAUUUCUCCUAAAAGUCCCUUUACAUGGCUUUAGUAUGUGAAUUAUGACUUAAGGGGAUGGGUGGCAUGGUUAUCAAGGUAAUUGGAUGCGCAUCGGUAAAGGAAAUCAAAUCAUCAGAAUUUGAAAAGCAAAAGUUUGACCAAGUCAAUAUAAUGGUAAAUGAACUCGGACUUGAGUUUUGACUGUUUCAUUAGGUCCGAAAGGUGAUUUAUGACUUUGUUCAGUGGUUUGCACGACCCCAAGAGUCUCGGGAGUGAUUUGACCACAUUAACAUUUGGUGAAGAUGACCUCGGAUAGAUGUAUCAAGUAUUACAAUGAGUUUGUAACCAUGUUUUAGGACCGUCUCCAUGGCCUUUUUUUCUUCAACUUUUUGUAAUCAUGUACAAAAAAAAUGGGGCAACAACUUGUAACAUUGUAUGCAGCAGACAACAGUCCAUUCUAGUUCAUGAAUGACGGCAGAGACAACAACAAAAACUCAUCAAAAUUACAGAUUUCAUAAAACCCAACUCUAAUUUCCAUUCUUGGCAACUAGAAAACUCAUCAAAAUCCAUCAAAAUUCUCAUUCAUAACAACUAGAAAAUUCUCAAAACACAUCAAAUUACAGUUUUAAUAAACUCAAAACUUCAAUAAACAAGAAAAAUAUUGAACCCUAUUUUUUAAUUUUAACCUUAAAAAUAAUAAAUUACAAAGAUUUAUUACCUCUGUUGCUGCAAUCGAAGUACUUCAACUACUUUCUGCUCUUCUCAUAAAUUUGGUGCCUGUAGAAAGAAAAAAAGGCAAAGCUAAAUACUUCUGUGUCAAUUUAGUCACUGAUAAACUAGGGACACUUCUGCAGCUUUUAGACCACCAUCUAAGUACAAGUAAAUCUAACUACUAUAUCCACUACUAUUCCAACAUUCCUAAUAUAACUUUAGUGCAAUGGAGGAGAAAGUGAAGGUGAAGGGAUACAGUGAAGCUCAACUCAAGAAAUGUUCAGUAACAUAAAGAUUAAAUACACCAAGUAACACGAUGAUGCUAAGUAUUUGGGCGCAUUUCUCCUAAAAGUCCCUUUACAUGGCUUUAGUAUGUGAAUUAUGACUUAAGGGGAUGGGUGGCAUGGUUAUCAAGGUAAUUGGAUGCGCAUCGGUAAAGGAAAUCAAAUCAUCAGAAUUUGAAAAGCAAAAGUUUGACCAAGUCAAUAUAAUGGUAAAUGAACUCGGACUUGAGUUUUGACUGUUUCAUUAGGUCCGAAAGGUGAUUUAUGACUUUGUUCAGUGGUUUGCACGACCCCAAGAGUCUCGGGAGUGAUUUGACCACAUUAACAUUUGGUGAAGAUGACCUCGGAUAGAUGUAUCAAGUAUUACAAUGAGUUUGUAACCAUGUUUUAGGACCGUCUCCAUGGCCUUUUUUUCUUCAACUUUUUGUAAUCAUGUACAAAAAAAAUGGGGCAACAACUUGUAACAUUGUAUGCAGCAGACAACAGUCCAUUCUAGUUCAUGAAUGACGGCAGAGACAACAACAAAAACUCAUCAAAAUUACAGAUUUCAUAAAACCCAACUCUAAUUUCCAUUCUUGGCAACUAGAAAACUCAUCAAAAUCCAUCAAAAUUCUCAUUCAUAACAACUAGAAAAUUCUCAAAACACAUCAAAUUACAGUUUUAAUAAACUCAAAACUUCAAUAAACAAGAAAAAUAUUGAACCCUAUUUUUUAAUUUUAACCUUAAAAAUAAUAAAUUACAAAGAUUUAUUACCUCUGUUGCUGCAAUCGAAGUACUUCAACUACUUUCUGCUGCUAUCGAAGCUACAAAUAUUAAAGAAGAAAUAAAUUUUCAGAAAUGCUCAAGAGAAAAACGCGGUUUGCAUUUUGGGAAAUCAAGCGUAGAGUAUUUUGGGGGGAAAAUGUUUUUUUUGGUUGAAAAUUCUGUAAAAGUGGGACUUUUGUACUUUUGUGACAAAAAAAUAAAGGGAGGGAAAUGAAAAUAUUUUUACCCGUCUAUAUUACCCACCGUUAUUUAGCCAUAUUUUCUAAAGUGUAGAAAAAAGUUUAAUUUUUAUUUAAUUUAGCCACAGUUUUUGUAACCAUUGCUAAUAAAUGGUUAAAUGACGUUCUUUUGGUAGUGUUGAACUUGAUUUGAAGACUUGAUAAACUUGAUCUCGACUUGUACUUAAAUUCAAUGGCCUUUGAGCUUGUUCUUGAAUCUUGUAGUCUUGAUCUUGAAGCUUGAACUUGUUGUUGAAUUUUGAACUCUUGAUCUUGAAAUCUUGAGCUUGUUCUUGAACCUUGAACUCUUGAUCUUGAAAUCUUGAGCUUGUUCUUGAACCUUUAACUCUUGAUCUUGAAAUCUUGAGCUUGUUUUUGAACUAUUUGUUCUUGAACCUUGAACUCUUGAUCUUGAAAUCUUGAGCUUGUUCUUGAACUUGUAGAGAAAUAUGCUGCUUUGAUCCAGGAGCUCCUUUUGAUUCUUGUUAAACUUGUUCUUCCUUUUUUUGAAUUAUGAGGUCCCUAUUUAUAGUUGUAGGAAGUAAGGAGUCAUGAUAAAUAUGAAUUUCCUUUGACCAAUUAGAUUUAAGUGACAUGACACCUUUUAUGAACUUUUAAUUUACUGCAUCAUUUUGACAAGUGGCAUGGUCCCAUUGGCUCCUUCACUUGACUUGGCAUGCUACAUCAUUUGACAUGUGGCACCCAAUUAGGCCUCUAGAACAUGAUGAUAUCUUGGGCUUGAUAAAGUGGUCUUAGUCAUUUCUAGCCCAAAUUAAUGGACUAAUCCAAUAACAAUUGGGCUUUAAUUAAAUUCAUGCUUUUUUUGACUUAAAUGAUUAAUCCAAUUAUAUUAAUCUCCAAUAUUUGUUUGAGAUUAAUACAUUUUGAAUUUAAUAUAAUCCGAAUUUCAUAUGAAUUUAAUUUAACAAAAUUUUGUGACGUACAAAUUGCCCCCUACUUUAAGGCUAGUCAAGUGCAUACUUUAGAGACUAGACUUGAAGUAUGAUUAUUUAGGCAUGAUGUCCAAUUUCAAAGAGAUUUUGGAAAAUAUUUUACCGUCUUACUUAACCAGUAAUAAAAUUCUUCCAAUUUGGAUUUAUAUUGAAGAAGAAAACAACAUCCAAUUUAAAUUUGUAUGAAAAAAGAAAACAACUCUCAUUUUAUAUGGGAGAAGAAAAUAACCUCCAACUUGAAUUUAUAUUGGAGAUGGAAAAUCUUUCAAUUUGAAUUUGUAUUGGAGAAGAAAACAAGCUCCAAUUUGAAUUUAUAUUGGAGAUGAAAAAUCUUUCCAUUUGAAUUUGCAUGGGAGAACGAAACAACCUCCAAUUUGAAUUUGUAUUGGUGAUGGAGAAUCUUUCAAUUCAAAUUUGUAUGGGAGAAGAAAACAACCUCCAAUUUGAAUUUGUAUUGGAGAUGGAAAAUCUUCCCAAUUUGAAUUUGUAUUGGAGAUGGGGAAUCGUCCAAUUCGAAUUUGUACGGGAGAAGGGAACUCUUCCCAUCUAAAUUUGUAUGGGAGAAGGAAACCACCUCUAAUUUGAAUUUGUAUUGGAGAAUGAAACACACAUCCUACAAAUAUAUAAAAGGAUGUAGGUUCCCCACUUUUUCAUUAUCAAUUUUGGAGUUUCCAAGCCAUCAAUAAUAUUGAGGUAAUUUCUUUCGCUCCCACUUUUCUCUUAUUUUUGUCACUUUUUUCAGCACAGUAUGUUAGUGGUAGAAAAUUCAUAUCUCACUGUAAGAAUAAUAAAAUCAUGAUCCAUUUAAUGUUAUAGAAACUAGACUUCAAGAUCUACAACAUAUCCAAAAUUUAGAAUUAAAAUUAUGAUCCUGAAUUUUAUCAUGCUGAAAAUUUUAGAUCUGCACACCUCUAUUAAAAUCUUCAUAUCUCAAUGAAGGAAUGAUGAAAUCAUAAGGCGCUUGAUUUUUUAUGAAACUAGACUCAAAUAUAUAUAAAAUAUCCAAAAUUCAUGAUUUAAUACCUUCAGCAUUAUUUGAGACAAAAUUUUGAAAUUGACUUUAAAUUCUGUCAUGCUGAAAAUUUCAGAUCUGUGCGUCUUUACUAUAUUUUUAUAUCUCAAAGUAGGAGCAAUGAAAUCAUGAGCCGCUUAAUUAUUUUUGAAACUAGACUCAAAAAUAUAUAACAUAUCCAAAAUUCAUGAUUUAAAACCUUCAGAAUUAUCCUAGAUAGUUUUUUGAAGUUGUCUCUGCAUGCGGAUAUGUUUUCAAUUUCAGGUUUGCGUGGCUUCUCGAGACAAAUUAUAUCUAGACGUGGAAACGUUGAAACUGUGAGUGUCCUUUUCCAUUGGAAAGAGAACUCUAAUAUUUACAAUACUUUUGGUAGGCAAGAAAACGCAAGGAUGUAAUUUGAUCCAUCUUUGCCGAUCGAGAUACUCGCCAUAUUUAGGUGAGCAUUCCUUCUUUUUUUUUCGUUCCCCUUUUUCUUUCUUCUUCUUCGUUUUUUUUAGGUGAACUACAAUCUCUUGAGUAAGAUAACACCUUUUAUGUAAAGGAGAUAGUAUUAUGAUGCAAAGAGAUUGAUAUUCCCUACCAUAAGGUAAUCUUACGGCGCAUAGGGACGACCAUUCGUCCCCGCCAUAAGAAAAGGUAACUUUAUGGUAAUCUUACGGCGCAUAGGGACGACUACUCAUCCACGUCAUAAGAGAAGGUAAAUUUAUGGUAAUCUUACGGCGCAUAAGAAUGUAUUUUCAUCUCCGCCAUAAAAAAUGGUAAAAGAUAACUUUAUGAUAAUCUUACAGCAUAUAGGGACGACUUAUUCGUCCUUGCCAUAAGAAAGGGUAACCUUAUGGUAAUCUUAUGGCGCAUAGGGAUGGCUACUCGUCCCCGCCAUAAGAAAAGGUAAUUUCAUGAAGAUUGGAAGGUAAAAUCAAGAAGGUUUGAAGGAUUUAAAGACUUCAACUUAUAGAUCAAAGAACCCGAUGACUCCAACUUUCAAACUCUGAAAGCUUCAAUAUGGUAGACUUGAAGACUUUAACUUAUAGUCGUAGAGAAUAUGAAGACUUCAACUUGUAGACUUCAUGAACUUGCAGGUUUCAAUAUAGUGAAGUUGAAAUCUCCAACAUAAAGACUUAGUAAAUUUGAAGACUUCAACUUAUAUGCAUAGGUCAUUUGAAGACUUCAACUAUCAGACUUCGUGAACUUGCAGGCUCCAAUAUGGUAACUUGAAAGCUCCAACAUGAAGUCUUAGUGAAUUAGAAGACUUCUUAUUGAUCAAAGAACCAGAUGACUCCAACUUUUAAACUCUGAAAGCUUCACUAUGGCAGACUUGAAGACUUCAACUUAUAGUUGCAGAGCAUCUGAAGACUUUAACUUGUAGACUUUGUGAACUUGCAGGUUUCAAUAUGGUGAAGUUGAAAUCUCCAACAUAAUGACUUAGUGAAUUUGAAGAUUUCAAUUUAUAUGCAUAGGUCAUUUGAAAACUUCAACUAUCAGAUUUUGUGAACUUGCAGGCUCCAAUAUGGUAAAUUGAAGCUCCAAUAUAAAGACUUAGUGAAUUUAAAAACUUCAACUUAUAUCCAAAAAGCUUAUACUUCAUAGGGAUUUUCCCCCAUUAAGUCACCAACACUUGAUGCAAGUCUGAAGAUUGAUGAUGUUAAAAGUUUUUUGAAGACUGAAUAUUUUAUAUGAGGGGGAACAUGUAUUUUUUUGACACUCAUGCAACUGAACUCAAAAUAAAAUUCCAAGCGCACACAUACCUCAAUAAAGAGGAUCAAGUCACAACAUAGUUCUGGGGUGAGUGUUUCUUUUCGUGUCUUAAGUUUUACCUAGGCUGUAUCUUUCGAGGUUUUCAACAUGGCGGACAUUUAUUUGAUCUUUUUUUAGCCGUACACAAUUUAUACUCUUGCAGACCAGGAGUAGACAUGCAGUUUAUACUCGUGCCUUAAGGAGUGUUAUCUCCCUUUAAGGAUAGUACUUCUUCAAGAACUUGGUGUUGAUGGGGCCAACCCUUACGCCAUCUGCAUCGACAAGCUUGUAAGCACUAUUUGAAUAUACCUCUUGUACGACAUAUGGUCCAUCCCACUUCGGGGUGAAUUUUUCCCUAGACUUAUGAGAAUUGAUAAUGGGUCUUAUUACUGCAAGGAUUUGAUCUCCAACUUGGAAGCACCUCAAGCGAACCCUUUUGUUGAAAGAACGAGAUAGACGGGCUUGAUAACAUUCAAGAUUUUUUUGAGCCUCCAGCCUCUUCUCAUCAAGAUAUUCUAACUCCAUAAGAUGCAACUUAGCAUUUUCUUCAUCGGUGAGCGCUUCUUGAAUGGCCAGUCUCAAAGAAGGUAUUUGACACUCAAGUGGCAGAACUGCUUCAACUCCAAAAGUAAGUGAGCAUGGGGUUGCUUGUAUUGGUGUAUGGUAAGUUGUUCUAUAUGUCCAUAAAGCUUCUUCCAUCCGCUCAUGCCAGUCUCCUUUGGAUUUGGAGAUGACUUUUUUUAACAAAUUUCAUAAAGUUUUAUUAAAUGCUUCGGCUAGACCAUUGGCGGCAGCGUGGUACAUAGAAGACUUGUGUUGCUUGAAACCAAAGAGAUCACCAAUUCUGCUCAUCAUCUUGUUAUCAAAUGGCUUUCCAUUGUCAGUUAUUAUAUACUGAGGAAUUUUAAAGCGAUAGAUAAUAUUCACUCGGAUAAAGUUUGCAACAUUUUCUUUCUUUACUUCUUUGAGAGCAACAAUUUUGGCCCACUUUGAGAAGUAAUCUGUCGUGGUCAAGAUGUAUAAGUGUCCACCAGAAGAUUUUGGUAGUGGACCAACAACAUCCAUUCCCCAAGCAUUGAAAGGCCAAGAUGCUAUAGUUGGAUGUAGUACCUAUGGAAGUUGAUGUAUGAAAUUUGCAUGGAAUUGAUAAGCUUUGCAUCUUCUAGCAUAGUCCAAGCAAUCUUUCACCAUCAUUGGCCAAUAAUAUACCAUCCUUUUAAUGUGAAAAUAGAGCUUCGGUCUAGACUGAUGUGAUCUAUAAAAUCCCGAGUGUGCUCUUGCAAAGCUUGAAUUGCUUCUUCCUCUCCCAAGCACUGCAAGAGUAAUCCUUCAAAUGAUCUUUGAUACAAUGUGUCUUUGUAGUAAAGAAAGCGAGGUGCACGAUAAUGAAUAUCAGUUCUUCUCCUUGGAUCUUCUGGAAGUAUCCCAUAACACAAGUAGUAAAUGAUAGGUUGUCGCCAAUCUUCCUUUACAGUUUCAGACACAGUGAUGAGGUAUUAAACCUUACCUUUUAUGUCCUCAUCCUCAUUUGAUGGCGGUACUACCCAUUCUUGGUGGAUAGUAACUCAUGUUUGAUUCGGAAGAGUUAGAGUUGAUGCCAAAGCGACUAGGGCAUCAGCUUGCUUAUUUUCUUUCCUUGGCACGUGCUGGAGGGUUACUUCUCCAAGCUAUCCCAUCAACUUCUGUGCAUAAUCAUGAUAUGGUUUUAACUUAGGCUUUCAAAAUUCAUAGCUUCCCAAAAACUGCUUGAUCACCAAUUGGGAGUCACCAAAAACUUGUAAUUAUAGUUGUUUCAUGUCGAUGGCCAUCUCAAGUCUGAGUAUGAGUGCUUGAUAUUCAGCAACAUUAUUAGAGCAAUGAUUCGUCAAGGUAAAACAGUAGGGGAUGACUUCUUCUUGUGGGGUGACAAACACUACGCCAGCACCAGCUCCAUCUCGAUGUGCAGCACCUUCAAAGUAUAUCUUCCAUGGGGAUCUAAUUUCAACAGCCAUUGCAUCUUUGUCAGGAAGUUCAUCACUCAGCUCUCAGUCAUCAGGUAUUGGGUGAUCUGCCAAGAAGUCAGCCAAUGCUUGUCCUCUUACUGCUUUUUGGGGAACGUACACAAUAUCAGACUGUUGAAAUUGAAGGUACUACCUUGCAAGCCAGUCACUGAGGACUGGUUUCGACAUCACAAACUUGAUGGGAUUUUCCCUGGACACAAGACGGAAAACAUGAGCUUGAAAGUAGUAUUUCAUCUUUUGGAUAGAUAAAGCCAACGUCAAGCAUAACUUUUCAAUCGGAGAAUACUUCAGCUCAUUUGGUGUCAUCAUUCUGCUCAGAUAGUAAAGUGAGUUUUCUUUGCCUUUACUAUUUUCUUGAGCUAGUAGUGCUCCAACUGACCUCUUUUGUGCCACGAUGUAGAGUAUCAAUGGUUUUCUAGGUAUGGGUGCCGCAAGAACCGGUGGCAUUAUUAAGUAUGAUUUUAUACUCUCAAAGACGUUACUACAAGCAUGGUCCCAUUCGAAGGGAGUAUCCUUCUUCAUGAGACGACUAAAUGGUUGACAUUUUUUGGCCAAGUUUGAGAUGAACCUCCUUAAAUAUGCUAGCCUUCCUUGAAGGCUUUUUAACUCAUGAGUGUUUCAAGGCUCGGACAUCUUCAAAAUUGCAUUGACCUUAGUUUGAUCAAUUUCAAUUCCUCGGUGUCGCACAAUGAAGCCAAGAAACUUUUUGGAAGUAACUCCAAAGGCACACUUCAAUGGAUUCAUCCUAAGUUGAUAUCUUCGAAGUAACUCGAACACCAUUCUUAGUUCUUAUAAGUGGUCAUCUCUUUUUCUUAACUUCACCACUAGAUCAUCCAUGUAGCAUUCAACAUUUUUGUGGAGUAGGCCAUCAAAUAUGUUUUGCAUAGACCUUUGGUAAGUGACGCCAGCGUUCUUUAAACUAAAAGGCAUUACCUUGUAGCAAUAAAUACCUUUCAGCGUAUGAAAUGUAGUGAGCUCUUCAUCCUUUGGCGCCAUACAGAUUUGGUUGUAGCCGGUUGAACCAUCCAUGAAGGACAUUACCUCAUAACCAAUGGUGGAAUCAAUCAUUAACUCUGGUAUAGGUAUUGGAAAAUCAUCCUUAGGACAUGCAUUGUUGAGAUCUCAAAAGUUGACACAAACUCAAAUUUAGCCAUUCUUCUUCCGUACUGGAACAAUACUUGAAAUCCACGUUGGAUAUUUGACUUCACAAAUAAAGCCAGCUUCAAUGAGUUUGUUAACUUUAUUUUCGAUUAGUGGAACCAACUCUGGACUAAAGUGCCUUUGAGCUUGCUUAACAGGACAAGCACCAUUCUUGACCGCUAGCUGAUGGACCGCUACUUUUGGAUCUCAGCCAGAUAUUUCCUUAUAACUCCAAGCGAAGACAUCCAUAUAUUCUUUAAGUAUAUCCAUAUACGUGAUUUUUUCCUCCAUCUCUAGAAAAGCACUCAGGUAAGUUGGUCCUAAGAUUAACUUCUUUUAAGGGAUUUAUUGUGGCCUUCACUCCUUUUUUAAGUUGAGAUGGAGCAUCUGCAGGAUCUUCCUCCUCUUGAGGAUCAUCUUCGCUGAUGGAUAUGUGGUGACACCAGAAAGUAUCUCUCAUCUCUUCAUCAACUUUCAUUUAAGAUGAGGCCUCAUUCUUAUUUUCGGCCAUAACAUGAUCUGAGGAGCCAACACUUUCUUCAUUUUCCUCAUGUUCUUUGGUAUAAACCACAGUAUGAGCCUUUGUUUUCAACACCUUAUUGCAUGAAACUACCAGUUUCGUCUUCUGUCUCAUUCUAGAAGGAAUCAAACUUUGGAAAUCCUUCUGGAUUUUAGGCAAGGAGUGCAUUGUUUUACUUUGAUGACUUCUCUAAUGCUUGUUACUUUUAUUCUUAUUUAGAGGACCCACCCAACCUCUCAAACACAGAAUUUUUUGCGGUUGAUUCUCCAAGUCAAUCAAAGCCAGAAGGCCUUUUGUUGGAUGCGGUAGAAUUUUCUUCUAUAGUGAUGUAGUUAAUAAUCGCCCUUCUUAUGGAGAUGUGAAUUGGGGUGGUUGUGUGUAUCCUAGGCCUUCGCAUGCCUGUCUUAUUGUACCUUCCAACGGAAGUUUACCCAACCUUGAUGGCUCAUUAGGAUUAUAUCUAGCCUUUACAAAUAAUUUGUAUGUAUUUAGAUUGAAGCCCUAUUUUGUACGCUUCGUAGGGAGUGGCAUAUCUUGUGGUGGAUUUUGAGCCACAGCUUCUCCAAACAACCUUGAGGAUGGAUUUAUUGGGUCGAUCUUCCUAAUAGGUAAAGUUACCCCCUUUAGUACAUUAUCUUGGGCAUCAGAUAGAUGAGAUUUCUCUUUCUUUACCUUCGGUACGUAGCGAAGAACAGGAGUUGCCUUCUUUUUCGUAGGAAUGAUGCUUUCUUUAUUUGAAGUGGAGAAAGGCUUCUUGGUGGCGACUUUUUCAAUAGUCACCAUGACUUUUUUGGCUGGAAGAUCAUCACACUUGGACUUGGUGACAUCAUCAACCCUUUUCUCAUUCACGACAUAGUUUUUCAAGUAGAAUUUUGCAUCGGCAAAGUGUGAUUCAGCUUCAGUGAAUGGCUUAUCAUUAGCUACUAUAUUUCGUUCCACUCCACCUUCGAGGUACUUAAAGCAUUGAUAGUAAAAGGAUGAGAUAAUUUUGUUCCUGUGCACCCAAGGCCUACCAAGUAAUAUAUUGUAUAAAGUUUUGGCAUCAAUCACAUGCAUCAAUAGAUCUAAUCGAAAAUCAUCCAUACGAAUCCCUAACUUGAUAGAUCUCAUGGCCCUCUGACCCCCUUGGUUGAGACCUUGGAUAAUUAUACGACUUUCGUACAGUUCAUCAAUAGAGAUGCCAAGUUCCUUCAUAGUGCAUAUGGGCAGGAUGUUGACUCCGGAUCCCUCGUCUAUCAAGAUUCUAUUGAUCUUCUUUCCCAGAAUUUGACCUACCAUGUAAAAAGGACGGUUGUGUAGGGCUUCACCAAGAAUAAUAUCGUUAUUUGUGAAUGUGAUUUUUGUAUCACAUACAAGUGCCUCUUGGCCAAGAGGUUCAGCAAGCGGUCCAGAGGAUGAAGGAACUUCCAUGGGUAUAUUUUCACUCUUUGCACCUUUUUAGGCAUUAUUAAAAUAAGAUACCUCAAAGUUGACUUGGGCAGUCUUUACACAAAACCAACUUGGUAAGAAUCCUCUAAAGUCAUCGUACACCGAGGUUUCUGGUGGUGAGGCUCCAUUACCUUUAUAUUUUAUAGGAUCUCGACCAGCCUUUGUUUUAUUGAUUUUCUUACCAUCUUUCUCCUAGUUGGUUGCUCGACCGAUUCCUUUCGUGGACUCAUCUUCUUGCAUUUGUGCUUGGUUACCAGAGUCCAACCUUCAUCAUUGACUUUACCAACUGAAGACUUGUCAUGCUCUAAUAGCCUCUCAUUAUGCUCUUUGACACAUAUUUGGACCGGAUCAAGUGAGCCAAAAGUAAUAGAUAUUUGAUGAGAACUAGCUGUCUCAUCAUCGAGGAAGAUCUUUUUCUCGUUUGCUAAUUGCAUGACUUUGUCUUUAAAGACAAAGCACUUUUCCAGAGGGUGACCCACAAGCCUAUGGUACUUGUAAUAAUUUGGGUCAUUGGUCCUUCCAGCUUCAUCGAGAUGCUUUAUCUCUGGCAGAUUAAUGAGCUUAUGAUGAAGAAGUUCAUCAAAAAUCUUGGUAACGUCAGAAUCAAGAAAAGGGUACUCCUUUUCUUGCAUCUCCUUUAAAGUUAACCUCUGAUUUGGAUGUGGUCGAGAAGUAGUCUUCAUGCUUUGCUUCUUUCUCACCUUCGUGGUGACCUUCACAGGAGACACAUCGGCAUUUAUGGAUUUUUUAUUAUUAUUUUUGGGUACGAACUUACCCCAUCUUUUGGGUUCCUGCUUAUUCUUUCUCCUUCGAGAUUCAUGGAUAGACGCUCCUCCCUUUUCGGCAGAAGACAUGCUCAACUCCAUAUUGUGAGCAUGAGUAGCUAACUCUUCAAAGGACUUUGGUUUGAUGCCUUGCAAUAGAUAGAGGAGCUCCCAAUGUAUCCCUUGGACAUAUAUCUCUAUUGCAGAAGCUUCGCUGAGCUUAUCUUUGUAAUUUUGGCUCGCAUUUCUCCAUCGAUUGAUGAAGUUCUUGAAUGGCUCAUCCUUUUUUUGUUGAUUAUUUGUGAGCUUUACCAUGCUCACUGUACGCCUCGUGCUAUAAAAGCGAUUUAGGAACUCAUGUUCCAAUUGCUCCCAACUAUCGAUGGAGUUAGGCUCAAGGCUCGUAUACCAAUCAAAGGCAUUUCCCUUUAGGGAACAAACAAACUUCUUGACAAGAUAGUCACCAUAAGUUCCAUCAUUAUUACAUGUCUCAACAGAGUAUGCGGCAUAUUAUUUCGGGUUCCCUUUACCCUCAAAUUGUUGAAAUUUGGGCAGUUGAUAGUCGGUUGGCAUUUUGAGGCUAUCUAUCCCUGCAGUGUAGGGCUUGGCAUACACAAGGGAAGACUUAGUGACAACAUCAUACUUGUCUUUGAGGGUCCAUUCGAUGAAUUAUUUCAAUUGCUCAAUCAGGAUCAUCCCCUCAGAAGAAACUCGUACCUCUUUAGUCAGUGGUGUUUGCUUCACGGGAUGUUCUAUCUCGUGAUCCUAUGGAGAUUUUCCUGGUGCAUGCCUAGAUUCUUCAUCUAUCAGGCCUUUCACUCUAUCCACUAUCUUAUCAAUCCAAGCAUCUUGAUUCUGAACCUAUUUGGUCAGGCUCUCAAUUACCUUUGUCAGAUUCACUAGUUGCUCCUCCAUAGAUGAGGCAUCAGUCGUCAUUUCUUCAUGAACACUGGAUAUGUUGGAGAGUAAUACGUAUUAUCACAUAAGUUAAUCUUUGAAGUGCUCAGCUUACGCGGUAUAAGUGGAUAUGAUGCAUUUGUUGAACGAUCAUUGCUCUUUGUGCCAGAGUAUUUUGAACCAGAGUGCUUAAGUAGAGCAAGAGUCCUCUUAAGUGAUUUCAUCACACUGCUUCGUCCUUUCGAAGCACUUGUUUUGGACUUCAUUCCUUUUGGGGUUAAAAAUCUAAAAACUGGAGUUGGCGCAGACGACACUGAAUGUGUUUGUUGUCCUAACAUAUUUGCGUUACUCCUUAUGACAGCUCCCAAACUUCCAAAAGUAACACCAAAGAUGCUUUCUACUUCGGCGGAGUACCUUGAAUCGGUAGCCUUGAAAGCAGUUGAUUGAGAGUUGAUCUUCUUGGAAUCAUUUCAGCAUUCUUAAUCUUCAAAGUUAGAAAAGUUGAGAUGAGAGGUAGAGAUAGUCCCACUAGGCGUGCCAGAAUUUAUUGGACAGUAAAAUUUUCGAGAUCAAAAAUAAUAACUGAGACAAGAAAAAUACUACAAUAAUCGAUUUAUUGAUUUCAAUAAGUGAGUGUUACAAUCUCUAUGAUUCCUCUGAUUUACCUUUUCAACUAUAAAUUCAAGGGCUUCGAGCUUGAUCUUGAACUUUAACUUGAACUUAACGGAUUUGAUCUUGAUUUGUGCUUAUAUCUAAGGGCUUUGUAGCUUGUUCUUAAAUCUUGCGGUCUUUAUCUUGAACUUGAACUUGAUUUGAAGACUUGAUGAACUUGAUCUCAACUUGUUCUUGAAUUCAAGGGCCUUUGAGCUUGUUCUUUAAUCUUGUAGUCUUGAUCUUAAAGCUUGAACUUGUUCUUGAAUCUUGAACUCUUGAUCUUGAAAUCUUGAACUUGUUCUUGAACCCUGAACUCUUGAGCUUGUUCUUGAACCUUGAAAUCUUGAGCUUGUUUUUGAACUAUUUGUAGAGAAAUCUGUUGAUUUGAUCCAUGAGCUCUCUCUUGAUUCUUGUUAAACUUAUUGGUCCCUCUUUUGAAUUAUGAGGCCCCUAUUUAUAGUUGUAGGAAGUAAGGAGUCAUGAUAAAUAUGAGCUUCCUUUGACCAAUCAGAUUUAAGUGAUAUGACACCUUUUAUGGGCUUUUAAUUUACUGCAUCAUUUUGAUAAGUGGCAUGGUCCCAUUGGCUCCUUCACUUGACUUGGCAUGCUACAUCAUUUGACAUGUGGCACCCAAUUGGGCCUCUAGAACAUGAUGAUAUCUUGGGCUUGAUAAAGUGGGCUUAGUCAUUUCUAGCCCAAAUUAAUGGACUAACCCAACAGCAAUUGGACUUUAAUUAAAUCCAUGCAUGUUUAGACUUAAAUGACUAAUCCAAGUAUAUUAAUCUCCAAUAUUUAUUUGAGAUUAAUAUAUUUUGAAUUUAAUAUAAUCCGGAUUUCGUACAGAUAAAAUUUUAACAAAAUUUUGUUACAUACAGAUGUCUUCUUCAAAAUUAGCCUAGUACUCUACUCCAUCGUUGGCCUAUAUGAACUUGGCCUCGGAGGAGUUUUUUUAUUCUUCUUUUCAGCAUAAUUUGUUGGAUUUCUUGGCUUUUGAUUCUCAUCUCAACACCUCCCUCAAUAUGAAAGGGAGGGAAACGACGCCCAGCUUUGAGAGAAUCGAAUAAUGCGAUGGUCCAGAGAGAGCUUUGGUGAACAAAUCGUCAAGUUGAGAAGCCGACGGAACAAGUGUAAGGGAGAUAAGGCCAGAGAGAAAUUGUUGUUGCACAAAGUGACAGUCAAGAUCUACGUGCUUGGUAUGUUCAUGGAAGACCGGGUUGCGUGUUAUGUGUAUAGUUGUUUAGCUAUCAGAGUGAAUUGUAUGGGCAAUGAUGGAGAAAUGGAUAGAUCUUGAAGAAGUCUCGCCAUCCAAGUUAGUUCUACAGUAUCCCUUUUCAUGGGCCUAUAUUCAGAUUCUGCUGAGGAUAAAGAAAUAGAGGCUUGUUUCUUGAAUUUCCAAGAAAUAGUCAAGCCGACCCAAACUAAUAAAAAAACCCACUAACUGAUCUUUGUGUGUCUCGACAUGAUGCCAAAUCGACAUUACAAGAAGCAAUUAGUGAAAAAGAGAAAUCUGAAUUAAAAAAUAGAUCUUGGCCUAAAUUUACCCGUAAAUACCUCAAAACCUGGAGUGCCACUGUGAAGUGACCCACACAAGGUUGUUGCAUAUAUUGUCUCAGGGUCAGGACUACAAAUGAAAAAUCGAGCCUCUUCUGAGUGAGGUAAUUAAGCCUCCCUAUUAAUUGCCUAUAAAUUGUUGGGUAUGAUAGCGGUGGUCCUGUAGAAAGAGUGAGUUUAAAAGAAAGAUCGAGUGGGGAAGAUACCACAGGCAAGUUCGUGCAGUUAAAUUCCUGCAAUAUUUCUAAAGCAAACUUUCUUUGACUGAGGAUGCAUCCAUGUGAUUCUUGCAAAAUCGUCAUUCCAAGAAAAUAAUGUAGCUCUCCUAAGUCCUAAUUCUGAAUUCCAAAUCAAAAAAUAAUUUCAUAGCUGCAAACUUAUCUAGAUCAUUCCCAGUAAUUAAAAUAUCAUCAACAUAAACAACAAUGAUAUAAAUAAGGUUACCAUUCUUCUUAAAGAACAAAUAAUAAUUAUUUAAAGAAGAUGAAUAACCUUUGAAGCUCAAUGCACUUGCAAGCUUGGCGUACCAUUACCUAGAAGCUUGCUUGAGCCCAUACAAAGACUUUCUUAGCCUUCACACAUGAUUAGGGCUGGGAGGAAUCAUGCUAGGUGGAAACUUCAUAUACACUUCUUCUUGAAGGUUGCCAUGAAGAAAGGCAUUAUUUACAUCAAGUUGAGAAAUGGGCCAUCCUUUCUUAAUUGCAACAGCUAGAAGACAUCUAAUGAUUGUCAUCUUGAUGAUGGGGGGGAAAGUUUCAUUGUAAUUUACACCUUGCUUCUGUAUAUCCCCUCUAUUGGCAAGUUUAGCUUUGUACCUUUCAAUGGACCCAUCAGAAUACUGCUUUAUUUUGUACACCUAUUUACAAGGUAAAGCCUUCCUUCUUGUAGGUAGAACCAUCACCUCCCAUGUUUGAUUUUCAUCAAGAGCUGCAAUUUCUUUGUUCAUUGCUUCCCUCCAACUAGGGUCCAAACAAGAUUGCUAAUAACUUGUAGGCUCUGAAAAUGUACUGAUAGACCCUAGUAAGUGUUGAUUCUGAAAUGAUAAGGCCCCAAAAGAGAAAGUCGAUGAUGCUGCAGGUUGAUCAAAACAAGUAUCCAAAAUAUUUGUUAAAAAAUUAUUAUUACAAACAAAAUCAUUCAAGUAUGCAAGCUUUUUGAUUUCUCUUUGUGACCUUCUAGGAGAUUGAAUAGAGGUGUACAUUCUAAUGGGACUAGAGGCAAAAAUUUAUGGAUUAUUUGAUUUAGGACUAUUGAGAGGAGAAAUUGGGGAUGUUUGGGUUAUAGGAUACGGUUCAAGAGAUGUGGCAAGAGGAACAUCAUUAAUUUAUAGUUCUUGAUCAGGAAAGAAGAGACUGGGAAAAAUUGGUUCUGCAUUUGGUUUGAAUUUGGAAAAAGGGAAAAUGUCUUCAAAAAAAUGCACAUCUCUAGAAACAAACAUUUUCUUAGUUGAAAUAUCAAGUAACUUGUAUCCCUUUUGUCCUUGAGGAUCCUAGAAAUACACAAGUUGUAGCUCUAGGCUCAAAAUUGCUUCUAUUACUUUUUAAAGUUGAAGGAUAACACAAACAUCCAAAAACUUUCAAAGUUUUAUAGAUGGGAAACUUCCCAAAAAUGACUUGAUAGAACUCUGGAAGGUAUUCUAUUAACUAAGUGAGUGACAGUCAAGAUACAUUCUUCCCAAUAAUACUUGGGUAGAUUAGAUUUAAAAAUGAGAUCCCUUGCAAUCUCCAAUAAGUGUCUAUAUUUUCUCUCAACAAUACCAUUCUGUUGAGGAGUAGCAACACAAGAUGUUUGAUGUAGUAUGCCUUGAGAUUUAAAGAACUCACCCUCUUGUAUUCCUUUUCCAACUCCAUAGCAUUAUCAGACCUAAUCUUUUUGACCUUUACAUUAAACUGUCUUCUAAUUAUUAGUAAGAAUUCUUUCAAAAUUAAGAAGGCAUUACUCUUCACAGUCAACAGAAAUGUCCAAGUACCUCUAUUGAAAUCAUCAACAAUAGUAAGAAAGUACUUAUAGCCAUUAUAAGUGGGAAUCAUAAAAGGUCCCCAAGUGUCUAUGUGAAUUAACUCAAAUCCUCUUGGAGGCAAUUUGACUAGUAGAGAAAGGCAAUCUUGUUUGUCUUAAAAGAAAACAAAUUCACAAGCACAAGUAAAAUCAGAAGGAAGUGAAAAAAAAUUAAACUUUUUCAUUGCAGAAUAUGGCAAAUGCCCUAGUCUAGUAUGCCACAAGGAUACAUUAGAUAUUGUAUUUGCUAAGAAAGGGAAACUAACUGAAAUAGGACUCUAAAAACUUUUUUUUGAAAAAAAAACUACAUAAGAUAAACUAGCCACUUCAGAAAUAACCGACUCUAAUAGAUAUAACCCUUCUCUCGCCUCACCAAAAGCUUAUUUCCUCCUCACUAAAAGGUCCUGCAUAAUACAACUUUCAAUGUUGAAUGAAAUAAAACAAUUAAACUGUCCACAAAAUCUAUUGACAGAUAAUAGAUUAUAUUUGAAAGAAGGGACAAAAAGAAUAUUUUGCAAAGUGUAAAUAGGGAGUAUCCUAAUGCUUCCUGUAUGAGUGACUUUAAUUUUGUAAGAAUUGGAAAAAUUUAUGGUUAGAGGCAUAGGGAGAGAUGUGAGUUUGAGAAAAGAGUUUAGUCAAAACACAUAUGUUCUGAUGCUCCAUAGUCUAUUAUCCAAGACUUUAAAUUAUAAAUAGAGAAACAAGAAUCAGAGUUAUGGUACCAGCCAUAACAUUGACAUUGAUGUCUUAGAUACCACUUCCUGAUGCAUUUGUUUGUCCCUGUUAGAAUAUUUGCCUUAGUUGUGAGAUUUGAGCCUUACUUAGCUGAUUGGUGAUGUCUCAAUCAUAGGGAUCAUUCCCAUUAUUGAAACCUCCAUAUUCAUCAUUUGCGAUUGUUGCAUUACCUUUGAUUGGUCCCUGCAAUACUUUUGUGAAUUGAAAAUCAUUUGGAAACCCAAUUAGUCUAUAACAAUUAUCUGCUUAAUGUUCAGUUUUCAAGCAGUAGGUACAACUUACAUUGGGAUUGUAUUUCUUCUUCUUCACCUUUUCAUUUCAUUGUGGCUGAUUAAACCUCUGAUUUUCACUUAAAAUCUUUUGCCCCUAGGACUGGUUUCCAAGUCUUUGUUGUGAUUGAAUUUGGUUUCCAAACCUUUGUGUUUGGUUACCAAAUUUUUGUUGUUGAAUUUGAUUUCUUGCCAUGAAUAACAAACUAUUAGAUUAAAAUUGAGGAUUAACGUAGACUUCCCUUUGAUUUUCAUCUUGAAAUUAAAGGGAAUAAGUUUGAUUUAUUCUUGAAAAAGGGUUCAUCAUCAAUAUAUUUCCUCUUGCCUGAGCGUAAACAUCAUUCAAUCCCAUUAGAAAUUGAAUGAGUCUUUGGUCCCCCAUAGACUUGACCAUUUUUUGCUUUCCUUCAGACUCACAUACACAUAGAGAUGGUAAUGAGGCAGUGCGGGUGUAGUGCGGUGCGAGUUUGAAGCAAUGUGGGGAGGUGAGGGUCUUAAGCUAUGUGGGGUGGUGCGAGGGCGGUGCGGGUUUAAGUAAGUUUUUUUUUAAAUAGUACGGUGCGGUGCGGGUUGCGGGUUUAAAUUAAAAAAAGAUAAAAAUUAGUAUUAUUCUCUUGAAUACACCUAAAAUUAUAAGUAUUCUUUACUUAAAAUUUUAUGAUACUUAAAAUGACAUGUAUAUCACUACAAAUAAAUAAUUUUAUAAUUUCUUAAUAUCCCUAUUCAUUUUUUAAAAAAAUAUGAUAUUUGAUCAUUACUUGUACACGUGAUACUUUUUGAUAAUUUUUUAGUGAAAAAUGAUAUAAUAUAAAUUAGUUGUUAUUAUUUCCAAGUUGUAGAUUUGGAAAUAUUAUGAUUUUCAAUGAAGUUAUGAAUUUUUCAAAAAAAAAUAUGGGGCGGUGCGGUGCGGGUGUGAAUGUGGGGUGGCUUUAUGCGGAUUUAAAGGUGAUGUGGUGCGGGUUUAAAAUUUAUGGAUUUAGAAAAACCCGCACCGCACCAUUUCCAUCCCUACAUACUUAGUUACAAAUGCUAUGUGAUUUUGAUCGAAUCUAACUCAUGCCAUAAUCUCUUGAAUUUUGUGAAAUAUCCUGCUACAUCACUAGAUGUUUGCACUAAUUCAAUUAUUUUCUUUUGCAGGUGGUACAAUUUUGC
rnacentral:lncRNA from 1 species